UAAUACGUAGGGUGCGAGCGUUAAUCGGAAUUACUGGGCGUAAAGCGUGCGUAGGCGGUUUCUGAAGUCCGCUGUGAAAGCCCCGGGCUUAACCUGGGAAUGGCAGUGGAAACUAGGGGACUUGAAUCUGGCAGAGGGGGGUGGAAUGCCGCGUGUAGCAGUGAAAUGCGUAGAGAUGCGGCGGAACACCGAUGGCGAAGGCAGCCCCCUGGGCUGAGAUUGACGCUGAGGCACGAAAGCGUGGGGAGCAAACAGGAUUAGAUACCCUGGUAGUCCACGCCCUAAACGAUGGCAACUAGGUGUUGGGGGAGCAAUUCCUUGGUACCGCAGCUAACGCGUGAAGUUGCCCGCCUGGGGAGUACGGUCGCAAGAUUA
rnacentral:rRNA from 1 species